GGAGAGAGGAGGAUGCAGAGCACAGCACUUAGCCAACCUGCAAUGGACACGUAGAAAACCUCAAGAAAGGCUCUGGCCUAGACUUGCCCCUUGUUCCUGUCUUCUGGCUCUUGACUGACACUGGUGCUUUCCCCCUGUGGUCCUGCAUGGUGUGUGGUGACUACCUCAUUGGGCCCUAAAACUUCUAAAAUCAUCAGGAGAUAUCACUGAAAAGGUUUCAAAACAAAGCCAUAAUCUCUAGAAAUGUGUCCUUGAUGGGUUGGUCUUCAUUUGCCUGAAGAAAUUGAGGCUAAGUGAGCCAAGGAAAAAGUCAUCCAUCAAGAACAAAGCAAGAUUUCUCAACCAUGGCAGGACGUUAGGAUCAUCUGUAGAACUUUAAAAUAUUGUUUAAUUUUUUUCAUUUGGUUUCCUUUAUAGUUGAUUUUGUUUAACUUUGCCAGUGAAAUUU
rnacentral:lncRNA from 10 species